UACGUAGGGGGCUAGCGUUGUCCGGAAUCAUUGGGCGUAAAGCGCGCGUAGGCGGCCCGGUAAGUCCGCUGUAAAAGUCCAGGGCUCAACCCUGGAAAGCCGGUGGAUACUGUCGGGCUCGAGUCCGGAAGAGGCGAGUGGAAUUCCUGGUGUAGCGGUGGAAUGCGCAGAUAUCAGGAGGAACACCGAUGGCGAAGGCAG
rnacentral:rRNA from 1 species